UGCCGAAUGGUCUAAUGGGUAGGACAUCAGAGUUUGGUUCUGACAGUAGAGGUUCGAGUCCUUUUUUGGCAA
rnacentral:tRNA from 1 species